CCUAACAUCCAACGGUCAAGUGACUGGCGGUUCUUGCGCACAGCCAUUGACAAUAGGGCUCCUCGCACACUGCUCCCCAGGCGAGACACAAGAUCUAGUACGGAGCGGGUCUACUGAGGAUAAAGAUGGGUUUUUACGCGAGCAAGAAGGAUGCAGUGCCCAAGGAGGCUGCCACCUCAUAAAUAGCAGCGGCAUCGGAAAGCUCAAAAGGCUGCCAAUUAUCUUGCGAAUGGAGUCGGUGAAAACCUGAUACUUGACCGUAUGUGCACCGGUGUCCUCUGUUCACAUGCUCUUUCGAGGGAUGUUCGGAAAUACACUUAUAUGGGGGACUACUUUUUCCUUUCAGCUUAGACCAUCCGUGCCUAUGGUACUUCUUGUAGUCCCCAAAAUAUGCGCCACAUGUACCAUGCAUGACUUCAUCUAAAAGCUUGUAUCGAAAUGCGGGUAAAUUGUGGCCUAUGUGGGAGGCUUGACAUUACAUUGACAUGCAGAGGUGCAAUAAUAUUCCUUGCAUGCAUGUCUUGUGCAAUAUUUUUCAAAAUCAGAUAUGUGGCUCGUGAGACAAUUGAUGGUACAUGAUUUUAUAUAUGGACAGCUUUGCUUGGCGUUUUAUCAUGCUUCUUAAUGCAUUGGGACAUGGCUCAAUGACAAUUAUGUGAUUUGAUGCCUAAUCUAAAUGUGCAGAGAUACACUUUUAUGGGGGACUACUUUUUCCUUUCAGCUUAGACCAUUCGUGCCUAUGGUACUUCCUGUAGUCCCCAAAAUAUGCGCCACAUGUACCAUGCAUGACUUCAUCUAAAAGCUUGUAUCGAAAUGCGGGUAAAUUGUGGCCUAUGUGGGAGGCUUGACAUUACAUUGACAUGCAGAGGUGGAAUAAUAUUCCUUGCAUGCAUGUCUUGUGCAAUAUUUUUCAAAAUCAGAUAUGUGGCUCGUGAGACAAUUGACAGUACAUGAUUUUAUAUAUAGACAGCUUUGCUGGGCGUUUUAUCAUGCUUCUUAAUGCACUGGGACAUGGCUCAAUGACAAUUAUGUGAUCUGAUGCCUAAUCUAAAUGUGCAGAAAUACACUUAUAUGGGGGACUACUUUUUCCUUUCAGCUUAGACCAUCCGUGCCUAUGGUACUUCUUGUAGUCCCCAAAAUAUGCGCCACAUGUAGGAUGCAUGACUUCAUCUAAAAGCUUGUAUCGAAAUGCGGGUAACUUGUGGCCUAUGUGGGAGGCUUGACAUUACAUUGACAUGCAGAGGUGCAAUAAUAUUCCUUGCAUGCAUGUCUUGUGCAAUAUUUUUCAAAAUCAGAUAUGUGGCUCGUGAGACAAUUGAGGGUACAUGAUUUUAUAUAUGGACAGCUUUGCUUGGCGUUUUAUCAUGCUUCUUAAUGCACUGGGACAUGGCUCAAUGACAAUUAUGUGAUUUGAUGCCUAAUCUAAAUGUGCAGAGAUACACUUUUAUGGGGGACUACUUUUUCCUUUCAGCUGAGACCAUCCGUGCCUAUGGUACUUCCUGAAGUCCCCAAAAUAUGCGCCACAUGUACCAUGCAUGACUUCAUCUAAAAGCUUGUAUCGAAAUGCGGGUAAAUUGUGGCCUAUGUGGGAGGCUUGACAUUACAUUGACAUGCAGAGGUGGAAUAAUAUUCCUUGCAUGCUUGUCUUGUGCAAUAUUUUUCAAAAUCAGAUAUGUGGCUCGUAAGACAAUUGACAGUACAUGAUUUUAUAUAUAGACAGCUUUGCUGGGCGUUUUAUCAUGCUUUUUAAUGCACUGGGACAUGGCUCAAUGACAAUUAUGUGAUUUGGUGCCUAAUCUAAAUGUGCAGAAAUACACUUAUAUGGGGGACUACGUUUUCCUUUCAGCUUAGACCAGCCGUGCCUAUGGUACUUCUUGUAGUCCCCAAAAUAUGCGCCACAUGUAGGAUGCAUGACUUCAUCUAAAAGCUUGUAUCGAAAUGCGGGCAACUUGUGGCCUAUGUGGGAGGCUUGACAUUACAUUGACAUGCAGAGGUGCAAUAAUAUUCCUUGCAUGCAUGUCUUGUGCAAUAUUUUUCAAAAUCAGAUAUGUGGCUCGUGAGACAAUUGAUGGUACAUGAUUUUAUAUAUGGACAGCUUUGCUUGGCAUUUUAUCAUGCUUCUUAAUGCACUGGGACAUGGCUCAAUGACAAUUAUGUGAUCUGAUGCCUAAUCUAAAUGUGCAGAAAUACACUUAUAUGGGGGACUAUUUUUUCCUUUCAGCUUAGACCAUCCGUGCCUAUGGUACUUCUUGUAGUCCCCAAAAUAUGCGCCACAUGUAGGAUGCAUGACUUCAUCUAAAAGCUUCUAUUGAAAUGCGGGUAACUUGUGGCCUAUGUGGGAGGCUUUACAUUACAUUGACAUGCAGAGGUGCAAUAAUAUUCCUUGCAUGCAUGUCUUGUGCAAUAUUUUUCAAAAUCAGAUAUGUGGCUCGUGAGACAAUUGAGGGUACAUGAUUUUAUAUAUGGACAACUUUGCUUGGCGUUUUAUCAUGCUUCUUAAUGCACUGGGACAUGGCUCAAUGACAAUUAUGUGAUUUGAUGCCUAAUCUAAAUGUGCAGAGAUACACUUUUAUGGGGGACUACUUUUUCCUUUCAGCUGAGACCAUCCGUGCCUAUGGUACUUCCUGUAGUCCCCAAAAUAUGCGCCACAUGUACCAUGCAUGACUUCAUCUAAAAGCUUGUAUCGAAAUGCGGGUAAAUUGUGGCCUAUGUGGGAGGCUUGACAUUACAUUGACAUGCAGAGGUGGAAUAAUAUUCCUUGCAUGCAUGUCUUGUGCAAUAUUUUUCAAAAUCAGAUAUGUGGCUCGUGAGACAAUUGACAGUACAUGAUUUUAUAUAUAGACAGCUUUGCUGGGCGUUUUAUCAUGCUUCUUAAUGCACUGGGACAUGGCUCAAUGACAAUUAUGUGACCUGAUGCCUAAUCUAAAUGUGCAGAAAUACACUUAUAUGGGGGACUACUUUUUCCUUUCAGCUUAGACCAUCCGUGCCUAUGGUACUUCUUGUAGUUCCCAAAAUAUGCGCCACAUGUAGGAUGCAUGACUUCAUCUAAAAGCUUGUAUCGAAAUGCGGGUAACUUGUGGCCUAUGUGGGAGGCUUGACAUUACAUUGACAUGCAGAGGUGCAAUAAUAUUCCUUGCAUGCAUGUCUUGUGCAAUAUUUUUCAAAAUCAGAUAUGUGGCUCGUGAGACAAUUGAUGGUACAUGAUUUUAUAUAUGGACAGCUUUGCUUGGCGUUUUAUCAUGCUUCUUAAUGCACUGGGACAUGGCUCAAUGACAAUUAUGUGAUUUGAUGCCUAAUCUAAAUGUGCAGAGAUACACUUUUAUGGGGGACUACUUUUUCCUUUCAGCUGAGACCAUCCGUGCCUAUGGUACUUCCUGUAGUCCCCAAAAUAUGCGCCACAUGUACCAUGCAUGACUUCAUCUAAAAGCUUGUAUCGAAAUGCGGGUAAAUUGUGGCCUAUGUGGGAGGCUUGACAUUACAUUGACAUGCAGAGGUGGAAUAAUAUUCCUUGCAUGCAUGUCUUGUGCAAUAUUUUUCAAAAUCAGAUAUGUGGCUCGUGAGACAAUUGACAGUACAUGAUUUUAUAUAUAGACAGCUUUGCUGGGCGUUUUAUCAUGCUUCUUAAUGCACUGGGACAUGGCUCAAUGACAAUUAUGUGACCUGAUGCCUAAUCUAAAUGUGCAGAAAUACACUUAUAUGGGGGACUACUUUUUCCUUUCAGCUUAGACCAUCCGUGCCUAUGGUACUUCUUGUAGUCCCCAAAAUAUGCGCCACAUGUAGGAUGCAUGACUUCAUCUAAAAGCUUGUAUCGAAAUGCGGGUAACUUGUGGCCUAUGUGGGAGGCUUGACAUUACAUUGACAUGCAGAGGUGCAAUAAUAUUCCUUGCAUGCAUGUCUUGUGCAAUAUUUUUCAAAAUCAGAUAUGUGGCUCGUGAGACAAUUGAUGGUACAUGAUUUUAUAUAUGGACAGCUUUGCUUGGCGUUUUAUCAUGCUUCUUAAUGCACUGGGACAUGGCUCAAUGACAAUUAUGUGAUUUGAUGCCUAAUCUAAAUGUGCAGAGAUACACUUUUAUGGGGGACUACUUUUUCCUUUCAGCUGAGACCAUCCGUGCCUAUGGUACUUCCUGUAGUCCCCAAAAUAUGCGCCACAUGUACCAUGCAUGACUUCAUCUAAAAGCUUGUAUCGAAAUGCGGGUAAAUUGUGGCCUAUGUGGGAGGCUUGACAUUACAUUGACAUGCAGAGGUGGAAUAAUAUUCCUUGCAUGCAUGUCUUGUGCAAUAUUUUUCAAAAUCAGAUAUGUGGCUCGUGAGACAAUUGACAGUACAUGAUUUUAUAUAUAGACAGCUUUGCUGGGCGUUUUAUCAUGCUUCUUAAUGCACUGGGACAUGGCUCAAUGACAAUUAUGUGAUCUGAUGCCUAAUCUAAAUGUGCAGAAAUACACUUAUAUGGGGGACUACUUUUUCCUUUCAGCUUAGACCAUCCGUGCCUAUGGUACUUCCUGUAGUCCCCAAAAUAUGCGCCACAUGUAGGAUGCAUGACUUCAUCUAAAAGCUUGUAUCGAAAUGCGGGUAACUUGUGGCCUAUGUGGGAGGCUUGACAUUACAUUGACAUGCAGAGGUGCAAUAAUAUUCCUUGCAUGCAUGUCUUGUGCAAUAUUUUUCAAAAUCAGAUAUGUGGCUCGUGAGACAAUUGAUGGUACAUGAUUUUAUAUAUGGACAGCUUUGCUUGGCGUUUUAUCAUGCUUCUUAAUGCACUGGGACAUGGCUCAAUGACAAUUAUGUGAUUUGAUGCCUAAUCUAAAUGUGCAGAGAUACACUUUUAUGGGGGACUACUUUUUCCUUUCAGCUGAGACCAUCCGUGCCUAUGGUACUUCCUGUAGUCCCCAAAAUAUGCGCCACAUGUACCAUGCAUGACUUCAUCUAAAAGCUUGUAUCGAAAUGCGGGUAAAUUGUGGCCUAUGUGGGAGGCUUGACAUUACAUUGACAUGCAGAGGUGGAAUAAUAUUCCUUGCAUGCAUGUCUUGUGCAAUAUUUUUCAAAAUCAGAUAUGUGGCUCGUGAGACAAUUGACAGUACAUGAUUUUAUAUAUAGACAGCUUUGCUGGGCGUUUUAUCAUGCUUCUUAAUGCACUGGGACAUGGCUCAAUGACAAUUAUGUGAUCUGAUGCCUAAUCUAAAUGUGCGGAAAUACACUUAUAUGGGGGACUAUUUUUUCCUUUCAGCUUAGACCAUCCGUGUUGUAGUCCCCAAAAUAUGCGCCACAUGUAGGAUGCAUGACUUCAUCUAAAAGCUUGUAUCGAAAUGCGGGUAAAUUGUGGCCUAUGUGGGAGGCUUGACAUUACAUUGACAUGCAGAGGUGCAAUAAUAUUCCUUGCAUGCAUGUCUUGUGCAAUAUUUUUCAAAAUCAGAUAUGUGGCUCGUGAGACAAUUGAUGGUACAUGAUUUUAUAUAUGGACAGCUUUGCUUGGCAUUUUAUCAUGCUUCUUAUUGCACUGGGACAUGGCUCAAUGACAAUUAUGUGAUCUGAUGCCUAAUCUAAAUGUGCAGAAAUACACUUAUAUGGGGGACUACUUUUUCCUUUCAGCUUAGACCAUCCGUGCCUAUGGUACUUCUUGUAGUCCCCAAAAUAUGCGCCACAUGUAGGAUGCAUGACUUCAUCUAAAAGCUUGUAUCGAAAUGCGGGUAACUUGUGGCCUAUGUGGGAGGCUUGACAUUACAUUGACAUGCAGAGGUGCAAUAAUAUUCCUUGCAUGCAUGUCUUGUGCAAUAUUUUUCAAAAUCAGAUAUGUGGCUCGUGAGACAAUUGAGGGUACAUGAUUUUAUAUAUGGACAGCUUUGCUUGGCGUUUUAUCAUGCUUCUUAAUGCACUGGGACAUGGCUCAAUGACAAUUAUGUGAUUUGAUGCCUAAUCUAAAUGUGCAGAGAUACACUUAUAUGGGGGACUACUUUUUCCUUUCAGCUUAGACCAUCCGUGCCUAUGGUACUUCCUGUAGUCCCCAAAAUAUGCGCCACAUGUACCAUGCAUGACUUCAUCUAAAAGCUUGUAUCGAAAUGCGGGUAAAUUGUGGCCUAUGUGGGAGGCUUGACAUUACAUUGACAUGCAGAGGUGGAAUAAUAUUCCUUGCAUGCAUGUCUUGUGCAAUAUUUUUCAAAAUCAGAUAUGUGGCUCGUGAGACAAUUGACAGUACAUGAUUUUAUAUAUGGACAGCUUUGCUGGGCGUUUUAUCAUGCUUCGUAAUGCACUGGGACAUGGCUCAAUGACAAUUAUGUUAUUUGAUGCCUAAUCUAAAUGUGCAGAAAUACACUUAUAUGGGGGACUACUUUUUCCUUUCAGCUUAGACCAUCCGUGCCUAUGGUACUUCCUGUAGUCCCCAAAAUAUGCGCCACAUGUACCAUGCAUGACUUCAUCUAAAAGCUUGUAUCGAAAUGCGGGUAAAUUGUGGCCUAUGUGGGAGGCUUGACAUUACAUUGACAUGCAGAGGUGCAAUAAUAUUCCUUGCAUGCAUGUCUUGUGCAAUAUUUUUCAAAAUCAGAUAUGUGGCUCGUGAGACAAUUGAUGGUACAUGAUUUUAUAUAUGGACAGCUUUGCUUGGCGUUUUAUCAUGCUUCUUAAUGCAUUGAGACAUGGCUCAAUGACAAUUAUGUGAUUUGAUGCCUAAUCUAAAUGUGCAGAAAUAUACUUAUAUAGGGACUGCCUUUUCCUUUCAGCUUAGACCAUCCGUGCCUAUGGUACUUCUUGGAGGCCCCAAAAUAUGCGCUAGUUGUAUCAUUCAUGACUUCAUCUAAAGCUUAUAUCGAAAUGUGGGUAAAUUGUGGCUUAUGUGGGAGGCUUGCCAUUGACAUGCAGAGGUGCAAUAAUAUUCCUUGCAUGCAUGUCUUGUGCAAUAUUUUUCAAAAUCAGAUAUGUGGCUCGUGAGACGAUUGAUGGUAGUCGAUAUUUUAUAGAUGGUGUUGCAUUAGCAUUUUUUAUGCUUCUCAAUGCAUUGGCACGUGGAUCAAUGACAAUUAUUUGAUUUGGUGCCUAAUCUAAAUUUGCAAAAAUAUAUUUUAUGGGGGCUGCUUUUUAUUUUCAGCUUAUACUAUCCAUGCCUAAGUUGCUUCUUGUAGCCCCCCAAAAUAUGUUUUCAUUUAUCGCUCAUUGCUUCAUUUGAAGGCUUGCAUGGAAAUGUUUGGUAAAUUGAGAUCGAUCCUUGGAGGCUUUAAAUUGACAUGCAGAGGUGCAAUAAUAUUCCUUGCAUGCAUGUCUUGUGCGGUAUUUUUCAAAAUCGGAUAUGUGGCUUGCUAGACAGUUGACGGUACUUGAUUUUAUGUAGACGGCUUUGCUUUGGCAUUUUAUCAUGCUUCUCAAUGUACCAAGACAAGGCUCAAUGACACUUUUGUGAUUUGGUGCCUAAUCUAAAUGUGUAGAAAUAUAUACAAGGACUACUUUUUCCUCUGAGCUUAGACUAUUCGUGCCUAUGCUGUGCCCCCAAAAAUAUAUGCUGCAUGUGUCACUCAUGGCUUCAUCUGAAUGCUCGUAUCAAAAUGUGGGUGAAUUGUGGCUUAUGUGGGCGGCUUGACAUUGACAUGCAGCGGUGCAAUAAUAUUCCUUACAGGCUUGUCUCGUGCAGCAUUUUUCAAAAUUUGAUAUGUGGCUUCCUAGACAAUUGACAGUACAUGAUUUUAUACGUAGACGGCUUUCCUUUGGCGUUUUAUCAUGCUUCUUAGUGCAUUGGGACAUGGGUCAAUGACAAUUAUGUGAUUUGAUGCCUAAUCUAAAUGUGCAGAGAUACACUUAUAUGGGGGACUACUUUUUCCUUUCAGCUUAGACCAUCCGUGCCUAUGGUACUUCCUGUAGUCCCCAAAAUAUGCGCCACAUGUACCAUGCAUGACUUCAUCUAAAAGCUUGUAUCGAAAUGCGGGUAAAUUGUGGCCUAUGUGGGAGGCUUGACAUUACAUUGACAUGCAGAGGUGCAAUAAUAUUCCUUGCAUGCAUGUCUUGUGCAAUAUUUUUCAAAAUCAGAUAUGUGGCUCGUGAGACAAUUGACGGUACUCGAUUUUUUAUAGAUGGUGUUGCUUUAGUAUUUUUUCAUGCUUCUCAAUGCACUGGGACAUGGCUCAAUGACAAUUAUGUGAUUUGGUGCCUAAUCUAAAUUUGCAAAAAUAUCUUUUUAUAGGGACUACUUUUUAUUUUCAGCUUAUACUAUCCAUGCCUAAGUUGCUUCUUGUAGUCCCCCAAAAUGUGUGCUACAUGUGUCAUUCAUGACUUCAUCUAAGUGCUUGUAUCGAAAUGUGGGAAAAUUGUGGCUUGUGUGGGAGGCUUGAUAUUGACAUGUAGAGGUGCAAUAAUAUACCUUAAAUGCAUAUCUUUUGCGGUAUUUUUCAAAGUCAGAUAUGUGGCUUGCUAGAUGAUUGAUGAUACUUGAUUUUAUAUGGAUGGCUUUGCUAUGGCAUUUUAUCAAUCUUCUCAAUGUACUCAGACAAGGCUCAAUAGCAAUUUUGUUAUUUGAUGCCUAAUCUAAAUGUGCAUUAAUAUAUAUUUAUGGGGACUGAUUUUUCUUUUCAUAUUAGACUAUUUGUGGCUAUGCUGCUUCUUGUAGGCCCCCAAAAUAUGCACUACAUGUAUCAUUCAUUGCUUCAUCAGAAUGCUUGUAUUGAGCUAUGGAUAAAUUGAGGCUUAUCAUGGAAGCUUGAAAUUGAUUUGCAUAGCUGCAAUAAUAUUCCUUAAAUGCUUGUCUUGUGCGGUAUCUAUCAAAAUCUGAUAUGUGGCUUGUUUGUAAAACUACAUUACUUUGAUUUUAUUUGGAUGGCUUUGCUUUGGUAUUUUAUCAUGCUUCUUAAUGCACUUGGACAAGACUUGAUGAAUAUUAUGUGAUUUGAUGCCUAAUCUAAAUUUGCAGAAAUAUUCUUUUAUGGUGAUUACUUUUUCGUUCCAGUUUGGACUAUUUGUGCCUAUGCUGCUUCUUGUAGUCCCCAAAAAUAUAUGCUGCAUGUAUCAUUCAUGGCUUCAUCUGAAUGAUGGUAUCAAAAUGUGGGUUAAUUGUGGCAUAUUUGGGAGGUUUGAAAUUGACUUUCAGAGGUGCAAUAAUAUUCCUUACAUGCAUGUCUUGUGCCUUGUUUUUCAAAAUCGGAUAUUUGGCUUGCUAGACAAUUGAUGGUAUUUGAUUAUAUAUAGAUGGCUUUGCUUCAGCAUUUUAUUGUGUUCUUAAUGCAAGGCUCAAUGACAAUUUUGUCAUUUGAUACUUGAUCUAAAUGUGCAGAAAUGUAUUUUUAUGGUGACUGCUUUUUCCAUCUAGCUUAGACUAUCUAUGCCUAUCAUGCUCUGCUUGUAGUCCCCCAAAAUAUGUGCUUCAUUUAUCGUUCAUUGUUUUAUUUGAAGGGUUGUAUAGAAAUGUGGUUAAAUUGAGAUUGAUCCAUGGAGGCUUUAAAUUGACAUGCAGAGGUGCAAUAAUAUUCCUUACAUGCAUGUCUUUUGUGGUAUCUUUCAAAGUCGCUUGCUAGACAGUUGAUGGUACUUGAUUUUAUAUAGAUGGCUUUGCUUUGGCAUUUUCUCAGGCUUCUUAAUGCAUUCGGACAAGGCGCAAUGACAAUUUUGUGAUUUGAUGCCUAUUCUAAAUUUGCAGAAGUAUAUAUUUAUAGGGACUACUUUUUCCUUUCAGCUUAGAAAAUUUGUGCCUAUGCUGCUUCUUGUAGUCCUCUCAAAAAUAUGCUACAUGUAUAAUUCAUUGCUUCAUCAGAAUGCUUGUAUUGAAAUGUGGCUUGCUAGAGAAAUGACGGUACUUCGUUUUUAUUUUGAUGGCUUUUCUUUGGGAUUUGAUUCCUUAUCUAAAGAUGCAGGAAUAUAUUUUUUGGCGGAUUACUUUGCUUUUACUCUUAGAUUAUACAUGGAUAUUCUCUUGGUGGCCCCCAACAUAUAAUCUAUAUUUAUCUUUUGAUGUUUGGUUUAAAUGCUGAUAUGCUAAUGUGGUAUGUUGAGAAUGAUUUAGAUGUUUGGGCUUGACUUAUAGAGCUGUUUUAAUGUUUUGACAUUCAUACCUUGAGUUCUAUCAAAACGGGAUGUGGUUCCUUAGAAUAGUGACCAAGCUUUUGUUUGAACUUGAGGUUUUGGCUAUGGAAUACUCAAUGCACUCUUGCUCAAUUACAAUUAUAUCAUUUGAUGGAUAAUCUGAAUGCAUAAAUAUAUUUUUAUCUGUUCGUGUGGUGCUUGUAACCCCCCAAACUAUGUGCUAUAUGUAUGCUUCUAUGGAAAUUUGUGUAUAUUGAGGCUGGUUUUGGAGGCUGGAAAAUUGGCAUGUUGAGCUGCAACAAUAUUCGUUACAUGCACUUUAACCCUAUCAAAUAUGGAUGUACUUUUAUUUGAGUUAGAUGCUUUUUCUUUGAUAUCUAAUCAUGCUUCUUAAUUCAUUCCGACAAGUUUUAGUGACAAUUAUGUCAUUUAAUGUCCAAUCCAAAUGUGUAGAAAUAUAUUUACAGUGGGUUAGUUUGCUUUUCAACUUAGACUAUCCUUGUCUAUCCUACUUAUUGUCCCCUAGCAUGUAUGCUAAAUAUGUAACAUUUGAUGCUUGGUUUGAAUACUCAUGUAAAUGUGGGUAAAUUGAGGUUGAUAUGGAGACCUUUACUUGACAAAGCUGCCAUUAUUUUCCUUAUAUGCAUGCCUUAAAGAUAUAUUAGCAUGGGUUUUGUAUCAUUUGUUAAAAAUGAUAUUUCUUAAGCUCUACAGAAUUCUUUCAAGGUGAAAAUGAAAUGCUAUGCAUCAUUUCAACCAUUUAUAACUUAUAUUUCCUCCAUGCUUUUGACUUCUGGGAUAGUUUGGUUUGACAAUCAUGAUUUUACUUGGAUUCUUGUAAUAUGAAUAAGUUGUAAAGAGGUGGAUGAUACACUGAGGAUGACAGAAAAGCAAUUCUUGUACAAAUUCUAGAUUUAGUUGCCUUUUGUCAUCUCCAAGGAGUCAUUCACUGUGAUCUAAAACCUUUUUUUUUUUUUUUUUGCUUUUUUUUUGGUGAAGGUAUAUAAUUACCUCUCCAAUGUAUUAUUUGUCACCCUACACAUUUUGCUUGUUCCACAGAAUUUUCUUUUUGCCUCAAAAGGAGAUGAUUCUCUGAUGAAGGUUGUGGAUUUGGUCUAUCGGGUUUUGUUAGACCAGGGCAGCCAAUCUUCUGAGGAAAUUAUAAUGGAAAAUAUGAUGGAAAGUGCAUAUUUAAGAUGACUGGAUCCCAAUCUUUUCAUCGCCUCGAAUAUUGAUGGUAUAAACGCCUCAAUGAUAUUGUUGGCUGUGCCUACUAUGUUGCACCUGAAGUGCUCCAUAGAUCUUACAGUGUUGAAGCAGACUUAUGGAGUAUCGGAGUUAUUACAUACAUAUUGUUAAGUGGAAGUAGACUAAGAAUCUUCUGGCUUGUGCUAAGAGCUAAUCCUAACUUUGAUGAUUCACCUUGGCCAUCAAUAUCACCAGAAGCUAAAGACUUUGUCAAGAGGCUUUUGAACAAUGACCAUAGAAAAAGGAUGUCUGCUGCCCAAGCUCUAGGUAUCUGUUAGAAUGUUCUGCUCAGACCCUGGUUGACUUAAUAAUUGAAUCUUUGCAAUCAAAAUGCUCUCUCUCACUCUCUCUCUCCCCCUCUCUCUCACACACCCACGCACACCCACACACAUCCUGAUUUGAGAAAUGAAAAAGAUGCCAUUCCUUUAGACAUUUCAAUCUUCAAGUCUGUCAAGUCACUCAUGUGUGGGCCUCACCUUUCAAACGACCAGCGCUGAAGGUAACGGCUAUUAAACAAAAACACCUUAUCGUGUUUUUUAUGCAUUAACGAUGUAGGCUUUCUCAAAAGCAUUGCCAGAAGAUGAACUCAUCUUUCUAAGAGUGCGAUUUUUAAUUUCUAAUAUUUAAAACAUUUUAAAACCCAAAACUAUAUGUGUGUGUGUGUGUUCCUUUCAUUCUCCCCACACUUUAGUUUCUACUUCCCCACUAACAUCAAUCGCUUCUGCUCUCUUCAACCUCAUAUGAUGAAUCAUGCAUUUUUCAACCCCAUAUACUCAGUGGUAGGUGAGAAAUCUUUUAAAUUUUUAGAAUUACUCUGAGUUUUCCUGUGUUUUGUUUUUUCAAUUCUUUUAUCCGAGGAUUGACCUUUUUGCUUUUGUUAUCCAUGAAUGAUACAUGGCGAUCUUUAAUGUAAGUAGCCUACAAUUAAGUCAAUGCAGGAUUUGGAUGUGUCUUUUGUUGGGCUUUUGAGGUAUAUCCUUCCAAAAAUUGGUUCCUAACAAUGGGAAAUUUCAUCUUUGGCAGGGUGUCGUUUUCCACUAGGUUGGUUUUUGUCAACAAUGGUUUUGCUUUCUGUUCCAAGGUUUAUUUGUUUGGAAAAAAGGUGUACGAGGGAGGGAGAAUUGCAAACAACUUUAUCCAAUUCCUGUUGGGUUUGGUGUUUUAUAUUGAUGUUUAUAUUAUUUCAAUAUGUCAUCAUCAUUUGUAAGACUUACAACUUGAAGGCAGACAAAUUUAUCUGAUGAUAAAUCUUUGUUGUUCUACCAAGGGUGGUUGAUUUUUUUUUUUUUAAAUCUCAUAUUACAUUCUAAUAAAAGCACGUAGUUUCAUAAGUUUUCCUUUAAUGUCUUCAUUCUUUAACAGAAAAUCACAAUUUUUCUUUGCAGUGACCAUUUCGUUCAAAUUAACUUUUCUAAUUGGAGAUUUCGAUGCCAAGAACUCAUGUCUCUUGAGGUGAUAGCUCCAAUGAUACCAAGAAGGCACCCAUGUGGUGACCUCCUUAUUAUUGAUUAGACGACAUCUGUACCUUAUACUAGAUUAUGUUGACAAAGAGAGUGGUGAAAAAGGAGUUGUGAAGGGGAACUUGUUAUUCAAGACAUAAGGAGCGAGUCCGGCCGAGAAAGCACCAGAGGUGUAACUGUGGUGUAUGAGACACCAUCUUUUACGUUGCCUCUUAUUUUAGAUUAUACAAUGUAUCUUGUGCCAACUUAGGACAUAUCUUCUUUGUGAAGCAUGUAAACUCUAAUCCUUUUUAUUAAAAGUAUUUAUAUGACCAAGAGGAUUAUGUCUGUCCCUCUUGAUUUAUGAUCUGAUUUGAAUAACAUGCUAUGAGGAUCAUGUCUGUCCCUCAUGGUUCUAAUUGUUUUUUUUAGAUAUUUUAAGACCUGUGGUAUAUUGUCUUGGAUGUAUCGUGGUAGAAAUUUUUCUACCAUGAUAAGGGUUCAAUGAAAAAAAAAAUAAAAAAAAAGGAUUUGUUGAAUUAAUAACUUGUGAAAAAUCGGUCUGUUAAUUUGAGAGUGUUACACCAAAUGUUAGGAUUUAUGCUAGACUUUUGAUUUUGAAAGUUGUAAUACCCAUUAUUUUAUUAUAUUUAUGAACUGGUAUCCCUGUUGGCUAUUGUUAGGUCAUUGAUUUGACUAUUGUGAAUUGUAAUAUAUAAUUUUUUAUUAGUAGACCACAUCUCCAUCCACGAUGGUGUGGGCCUUAUUUUCAUGUCAGUGUUGGGUUCCUUAAGGUAAAUUCUGGUAUAGUUUCAUAUUUUGUACAAAUAUUUGGAUCAAUUGCUAUCCUUGAGUUAGGGUGUUACUUUUUAGUAUUAGAGUGUUACAUUAUAACACCCCUUGCAUUCUAAAAGGGGGAGGUUGUGGUCUGGUCAGGAGCUUUAGGGUUUUUGGCCAUGUACGAUAUCUCUUAGUUGGAGAGCAAGUCACCUAGUCACAUGGGUAAGUUUUUUACAGUGAUAAAGCUCACGAUCUUAGCUAGAAGAAUAAGGAUGAGAUAAGGGAGUAUAAAUGGAUUUAAGUGGCUUAUUGAAUACUGUACAUGUUGAGCUUGAAUGGAUCAUUUUGCUUUACUGUGCAUGUGAAUUCUAUCUUUGGGUAUUCUUAUUACUAGCAUAUGGGAAGGUAUAGAAAACAAUGUCUGUUUCUUGUACUAGCCAGUAGCUCGGGUGGAUAAAUUAGCAAAGGACUUGGCUUUAUUCUCCUAACAAGUAUGGCUUUUUUGUUUUUGUUAUUAUUAUAAAACAAGGGGUAGUAAGCUCCAAAGAGUCAUGGAAGGUUGAUCCUUUGUUUGGUUUGGGGGUUGGGGAGGGGAGCCGAGGGCAGGAAUUUUGCUUCAAAGGGAAUUAAAUCAAGGGGGGUUCUAAGCAUGUGAAAACCAAGAAUUAGGCUCAAGGCAUGAUUGGCUAGGUGAUCUGCACAUCGAUUGGCCUCUUUGUAUACAUGUUAGAGUUGAAUAUUCCAAUGGCAUUGAAAGAGGUUUUUGAUGUCUUGUAGUAAGACGUGGUGAGACUUUAUCAGAGAGUGGUCGCCAAUUAUAAGCUAGAUAGCACAAACAGUGUCACUUGGAAGCAAGAUGUGCCGGUAGCCUUCAUCCCAUGCAAUGGCCUACAGUUCUGCUUGGGUGUUAUUGCCGGGGCCUAUAUAUGUUGCUGUAUACUCCAUUGAUCCAGUUCCUGCUCGAGGCUAUUGCCCAUGUGGAGUUCACUUUAAAGUUUGCAUCAUAAUUUAUCUUAACCCAGCCUAAAGGCGGAGCAUACUCCAAGUCCUGGAUGCAACUGGGUUGGCUGCGGAGUGAAGCUGAGACCCAUUUGCCUUCCUAGUGUGACGUGUCUACGUUCAGUUAAUGGAAAAAAGGUGAUCUUGAUUGCCACUGGGGAGAAGAGAUCUCUAAAGGAGUACCAGAGCAAUACAUGGUUCAUGUCCUCUUUCUCGUAGCUGUGGCAGAAAUGGCAAGCAUUUGAAAAAGGUGCUCCAUGACGGCGUACGUGUUCACAGUUACAUUCUUCCUUUUAAUGGCAUCCUUUAGGAGGAUCGAAUGCGUUGGUUUCCAUUUUGGGUCAGCAUCAUUGAAUCAAACGCACAGGCCACAUGUAUGACUUUAUUGUUUGUUAACAUAUCAUCAAUAUAUCUAACAUAAAAAAUAUUUGAAAAAAUUAAUCUUUUAGUCUUUCAACUUUUAUAUUACUUGUAACUCAGUCCCUCAAUUAUGACUCGCUGUGACUCAGUCCCUCAACUAUAACUCACCUAUAACUCAGUCCUUCAACUUUUGAAUCACUUACAAAUUCAUCUCUUAAUCUUUGUUAAUUUUUUUUCAUGCUAGCUUAUAUCUUACGUUAAUGAAUAAGAAGAGAGUAUUUUAAAAUAAUAUAUGAGCAUUUUUUAUCCCUCUUAUUUGAUAAUUUUUUUUAAAAUUAAAAAAUAAGGAUCGAGUUAUAGGUAAAUCAAAAGUUGAGGAAUUAAGUUGCAAUGAGUUAUAAUUAAGGGACUGAAUCGCAGCGAGUCAU